rnacentral:rRNA from 1 species
ACACGUAGGGGGCGAGCGUUGUUCGGAAUCAUUGGGCGUAAAGGGCGCGCAGGCGGCGAGGCAAGUCCGGUGUGAAAGUGCUCGGCUCAACCGAGUGAUGCGCUGGAAACUGCCCUGCUUGAGUACAGGAGGGGACGUCGGAAUUCCAGGUGUAGGGGUGAAAUCUGUAGAUAUCUGGAAGAACACCGGUGGCGAAGGCGGACGUCUGGCCAUGUACUGACGCUGAGGCGCGAAGGUGCGGGGAGCGAACAGGUUUAGAUACCCUGGUAGUCCGCACAGUAAACGAUGUGCACCAGGUGGCGGGGGGUAGCCCUCGGUACCGAAGCCAACGCAUUAAGUGCACCGCCUGGGGAGUAUGCUCGCAAGGGUGAAACUUAAAGGAAUUGACGGGG